AUUGAACGCUGGCGGCAUGCCUUACACAUGCAAGUCGAACGGUAACAGGUUAAGCUGACGAGUGGCGAACGGGUGAGUAAUAUAUCGGAACGUGCCCAGUCGUGGGGGAUAACGUAGCGAAAGCUACGCUAAUACCGCGUACGAUCUACGGAUGAAAGCGGGGGAUCGCAAGACCUCGCGCGAUUGGAGCGGCCGAUAUCAGAUUAGGUUGUUGGUGAGGUAAAAGCUCACCAAGCCUGCGAUCUGUAGCUGGUCUGGGAGGACGACCAGCCACACUGGAACUGAGACACGGUCCAGACUCCUACGGGAGGCAGCAGUGGGGAAUUUUGGACAAUGGACGCGAGUCUGAUCCAACAAUGCCGCGUGCAGGACGAAGGCCUUCGGGUUGUAAACUGCUUUUGUACGGAACGAAACGGUGAGCUCUAAUACAGUUUGCUAAUGACGGUACCGUAAGAAUAAGCACCGGCUAACUACGUGCCAGCCGCCGCGGUAA
rnacentral:rRNA from 1 species